ACGAGCGCUGGCGGCGUGCUUAACACAUGCAAGUCGAACGGAAAGGCCCUGCUUUUGUGGGGUGCUCGAGUGGCGAACGGGUGAGUAACACGUGAGUAACCUGCCCUUGACUUUGGGAUAACUUCAGGAAACUGGGGCUAAUACCGGAUAGGAGCUCCUGCUGCAUGGUGGGGGUUGGAAAGUUUCGGCGGUUGGGGAUGGACUCGCGGCUUAUCAGCUUGUUGGUGGGGUAGUGGCUUACCAAGGCUUUGACGGGUAGCCGGCCUGAGAGGGUGACCGGCCACAUUGGGACUGAGAUACGGCCCAGACUCCUACGGGAGGCAGCAGUGGGGAAUAUUGCACAAUGGGCGGAAGCCUGAUGCAGCAACGCCGCGUGCGGGAUGACGGCCUUCGGGUUGUAAACCACUUUCGCCUGUGACGAAGCGUGAGUGACGGUAAUGGGUAAAGAAGCACCGGCUAACUACGUG
rnacentral:rRNA from 1 species